rnacentral:ribozyme from 12 species
AAAGAAGAAGAAGAAGAAGAAGAAAAAGUGGAAUGAGGUUUAUUUUUAUUUAAAUUUUCUUUUUUAUUUUCAUUUUUAUUUUCAUUUUUAUUUUUACUUUUACUCUUACUCUUA